rnacentral:sRNA from 1 species
GUCAUUUGUGAGCUUGCUCAAUGUACCACUAGUUUUCAUAUAGAAUAUGUUUUGUUUAUAUGAUUUAUUAGACUCGAGAUAAUAAUCAAAUGUUAGCUGUAGCACUCACUAUUGUAAAACAACAGUUCAGUGAGUGUACUCAUAAAAAGAUAUAUACAUUAAUAUCAAACUCAAGCUCACUAUCACAAUGCUUAUGAGAACACAUGUACAAAAUGAUGGUUUGUAAUGAAGAUAUACCUAUACAGUAGAAACUUGAUAGAAUCUAUUUCUAACAUGGAUAUAUUGAAUGUUAUGCCAAAGUUAUUUUGAAGUCCUCAAAACUAUUAAAAUGUUGUGAACCUUUUUAUCUUCAAUCCUUGGAUAUUCCAGACAUUUUUUCUUGAAAUUACUGACUUCAGCAUUACAAGGUUUAAUUGUAAUUACUAGUUACAAACCUGUUUGCUAGUUAUGAAAACCUUUUUAUUUUGACUUUUUGUGGAUCCAUUGUUUGCCUAAGAUAAAUGUAAUGAUUGGAUUUUUUGGUAAUUUAAACCAUAUUUUAUUCCAAAUAAUGUGUUUUCUAGCCUUCUCCACAUUUAUCUUUUUUUCAUUGAGUUUUAUUUUUAAGUAAACCUUAUCAAUGACUAUAGGAAUACUGUACAUAUUUUGCCUUAAUAGGUGCUUUCAUCAUUGGAAACCUAUACUGUCAGUCUGUCAUAUGCUUGUACUGAUCAAGGACUAACCAAGUUGACUCAUUCACUUGAGUAAUAAGGCCCUGUUCUGAUUUUGUUUUCAUAUUUUCAAAGUAAUCUCAGCAAUCAAAUUUGAAAUCAAAUUAUCAAAAAUAAACAACAGCAUGUUUUCAUAACAUGUCCUGCCAAAAUGGUUUUCAUAACACGUUCUGCCAAAAAGUUUUGCUUUUUCAUUAGUGUAUUGAGAAUGUGUUUAUUACAAUAUAGAAUACAUUUAUUUAUCACAUGUUUAGCUUGAUCAGUAAACGCUGGAUAACACUCAUGUAAUAAAUUUUUGAUAUUGCACUGUUUAUUCUUACCCAACAUGAGGUCAUAAUUAAACAUUGUGAUGGCUUAGGCGGUUGAUUGACGUAGAAUGAAAAAAGUAAAAAAAAUAAGUCAGUUGAAAUGUGUGGAGUUCUAAGUGUGAAGCAUUUAGCUGUUUUAGAGUUUUUCAUAAAUUGAUAAAAAUAUGAUUGAAAAUGAAAUGUUUGUUUACUAAUUUUCAAGGUACUUUCUUUAUGCGUAAUAUUGUUGACAUCUUGCAGUAAAUGUGUUGUGCGACAAAAAAUUAUAAUUUUUACAGAAAAUACUUGAGGUUUAUGACAAGACAUAGUAAAACUUGACAAAAAGAACCUCUAAUAAAUUGCGAUGGCAAUAUAUGAUUUUAUCCAAAUCAUAUGUUUUCUAUUCCUAAGCCUUUUUUCAUCUCCUUGCCAAGGCUUGAGAUAGAAAACACACAACGAGUUGGAUAAAAAUCAUACCAUGGAUAAUCGUGAGAGAUCCUAUAUAAAUUUAUAAAAACAAGAAACGUUUAGGGAGUUGUCAGAUGGUCAGUACCCUGGUAAGUGUAUGUGAGACUGGGCAUGGGCUUCCAUCAAUGGUGUGAUUUUCAAUCAAUAUUCAAUCAAUAUUGGAUUGAAAAUAACAAAAACAAUCGCGAAAUCAAAAUUAUGAUUAAAAAGGCUUUUCUUAGGGUCAUUACAAGAGAAUACCUCAAUAUGUGAUGAUUCGUUCUUCUCAUUGUUGAUGUGUACUUCAUUAUUUACUUGUUGUUUGUUUUAAGUUUAGUGUUGAGUAUGUGUGCUAGGAACGACCAAGAUCUCAACAAAAUGUACUCAUUUAUAUUUUUCAAUUUCUGCUUUAAAGAAAUUAAUUUGUGUAUAGGUGUUGGUUUACAUAAAAAUAAAGCAAUUACUGAAGAUAUUCUG